GACGAACGCUGGCGGCGUGCUUAACACAUGCAAGUCGAACGGAAAGGCCCUGCUUUUGUGGGGUGCUCGAGUGGCGAACGGGUGAGUAACACGUGAGUAACCUGCCCUUGACUUUGGGAUAACUUCAGGAAACUGGGGCUAAUACCGGAUAGGAGCUCCUGCUGCAUGGUGGGGGUUGGAAAGUUUCGGCGGUUGGGGAUGGACUCGCGGCUUAUCAGCUUGUUGGUGGGGUAGUGGCUUACCAAGGCUUUGACGGGUAGCCGGCCUGCGAGGGUGACCGGCCACAUUGGGACUGAGAUGCGGCCCAGACUCCUACGGGAGGCAGCGGUGGGGAAUAUUGCACAAUGGGCGGAAGCCUGAUGCAGCAACGCCGCGUGCGGGAUGACGGCCUUCGGGUUGUAAACCGCUUUCGCCUGUGACGAAGCGUGAGUGACGGUAAUGGGUAAAGAAGCACCGGCUAACUACGUG
rnacentral:rRNA from 1 species